rnacentral:rRNA from 1 species
UACAGAGGGUGCAAGCGUUAAUCGGAAUUACUGGGCGUAAAGCGUGCGUAGACGGUCAUGUAAGUCGGGUGUGAAAGCCCGGGGCUUAACCCCGGGUCUGCAUUCGAUACGGGCUAGCUAGAGUGUGGUAGGGGAGAUCGGAAUUCCUGGUGUAGCGGUGAAAUGCGCAGAUAUCAGGAGGAACACCGGUGGCGAAGGCGGCAUUCUGGACUGCAACUGACACUGAGGAACGAAAGCCAGGGGAGCAAACGGG